UUAAAAUUUCCAGAACAAUCUGGGUUGACCCAGCUUGGGCCCAUGCCAACCUCUUGGCUGGAUAAGGGUGAAGGACCUUAACUGAUAGUCCUUCUGAAAUUACUCACAACAAGGGAAAUGUGCAGAGUGUAGCAUGUUUGGACAGGCUAAAUCAGCAGAUGACCAUCCCAAGCUGAGAGGUCCCCGAUUGCCCUAGAAAGGGAUGUCCAAUGCCCCAGUCUUACACUGACUCUUGUCAUUAUUACAAAGCAGUAGGAGAGUCGGCUAUGGUCUGAAUGUUUGUGUCUAUGCCCAAAUUCAUAUGUUGAAACCCUAAUACCCAAGGGGAUGGGGUAAGCCCUUGGGGAAGUAAUUAGGAGUAAAUGAGGUCAUGAGGGUAGGGCCCUCAUGAUGGGAUUAAUGCCCUUAUAAAAUGAAGGUCAGAAAUGAGCUCUCUCUCUCUCUCUCCCUUCACUGUAUACACAUCAAGGAAAGGCCAUGGAGGACAUGAUGAGAAGGUGGCCAUCUGAAAACCAGGAAGAGGGCUCUCAAUGGACAUUGAAUCUGCUAGUGCCUUCAUCUUGGAUUCCCCAGCCUGCUCGGAAGAGUCCUUGGACUCUCCUAGAACUCAGCCAGAUGGACUCCAUGUUGCCUCCUCUGAAAGGAAGAUGAACCACAGUCACCUUUCUGAAUGGUAAACUGAUCACUAAGAGCAAUCAGGUUCAGCAGGUUCCAUCCCAGCUGAGAGGAGAAGCUAGGGUACAUGGUUGGCUCAGACCCUAUCUUCCUGGGCUCUGAAGAUUUUUCUUGAGUAUCUGGAAACGCCAGAAGGUGAGUGAUGACUCUGCCAAACUCCUGCCUCCCAGUCAUCCUCUUCAGCUGAUCAGACAGGCUUCUAUCAAGUCUUAGUAGGCCUCAUGUGUAUUAUUUAUUUGAUUAAAAAAAUUGUGUCAUUUGCUUUUAAGGAGCCUCUGGGAACGAGCAUAAUUAAGCAUAGAUUAAAAUGUCUGAAAGAUUGAAAACCACCAUAAUGAUAUAGUGAAACGAAUGCAAGAAGCUUAAAAACAUCCCCACAUUGUCGUUCCAUCAAAGCAUCCCCAUUUACAAUGAUACCCUAGAAACCGAGCCUCACUGGAAAUGAUCAAACUGGGAUUUCAGCUCUUGAACACGGACAGUGAUUCUAAUAAUUUGGGAAGAUUAAUUUGUAAAAGAGCUCAUCUGUACCAUCGAUGGAAGCUAAAGGGCAUCAGUUGGAUUCAAAGGAGAAGGAAGAGAAGAAGGAAGAAAAGGAGGGGAAAAAAGCAGAAGGAGGAGGGGGAGAAGGACGCUCUCAGACACCAUAACAAACACAGCAGGGGAGAAGCCGGGGAUUGCACGCCAAUGUCCGAACACUUGCUAUGAGCCAGGCGAUGUUUUAGGUCGGCUGACACUUGGGCUGUUUCCCCACCUUGGCGAUUGUGAAUAACGAUUGUGAAUAAUGCUGCAGCUGACAUGGGAGCACAGAGAUCUCUUUGAGACAGUGAUUUUGUUUCCUUUGGAGAUAUACCCAGACAUGAA